rnacentral:ncRNA from 1 species
GAGUAAUGGAGGGGUAACUGGAAUUCUCGGUGUAGCAGUGAAAUGCGUAGAUAUCGAGAGGAAGACCAACGGCGAAGGCAGGUUACUGGACAUUUACUGACGCUGAGGCUCGAAGGCCAGGGGAGCGAAAGGGAUUAGAUACCCCUGUAGUCCUGGCAGUAAACGGUGUGCGCUUGGUGUAGGUGGGUUCGACCCCAUCUGUGCCGGAGCUAACGCGUUAAGCGCACCGCCUGGGGAGUACGGUCGCAAGACUAAAACUCAAAGAAAUUGACGGGGACCCGCACAAGCGGUGGAGUAUGUGGCUUAAUUCGAUGCAACGCGAAGAACCUUACCUGGGCUUGACAUGCAUUGCUAAUUCGGUGAAAGCCGAUGAGUCUUCGGACGCCUUGCACAGGUGCUGCAUGGCCGUCGUCAGCUCGUGUCGUGAGAUGUUCGGUUAAGUCCGGCAACGAGCGCAACCCCUGUGGUUAGUUACUAACAUUAAGUUGAGGACUCUAGCCAGACUGCCCAGAUCAACUGGGAGGAAGGUGGGGAUGACGUCAGGUCAGUAUGGCCCUUACGCCCAGGGCUGCACACGUACUACAAUGCCCAGUACAAUGAGAACCGAGACCGCGAGGUGGAGGAAAUCUACAAAACUGGGCUCAGUUCGGAUUGGAGGCUGCAACUCGCCUCCAUGAAGUUGGAAUCGCUAGUAAUGGCACAUCAGCUACGGUGCCGUGAAUACGUUCCCGGGUCUUGUACACACCGCCCGUCACAUCAUGGAAGCCGAUCGCACCCGAAGUGCCUGCGUCAACAUUGGCAGGGCCCUAAGGUGUAGUUGGUAACUGGGAUGAAGUCGUAACAAGGUAGCCGUAGGGGAACCUGCGGCUGGAUCACCUCCUUU